rnacentral:rRNA from 1 species
UAUCUACAGGCUUAACACAUGCAAGUCGAGGGGCAGCAUUUCAGUUUGCUUGCAAACUGGAGAUGGCGACCGGCGCACGGGUGAGUAACACGUAUCCAACCUGCCGAUAACUCGGGGAUAGCCUUUCGAAAGAAAGAUUAAUACCCGAUGGCAUAAUUAGACCGCAUGGUCUUAUUAUUAAAGAAUUUCGGUUAUCGAUGGGGAUGCGUUCCAUUAGGCAGUUGGUGAGGUAACGGCUCACCAAACCUUCGAUGGAUAGGGGUUCUGAGAGGAAGGUCCCCCACAUUGGAACUGAGACACGGUCCAAACUCCUACGGGAGGCAGCAGUGAGGAAUAUUGGUCAAUGGACGAGAGUCUGAACCAGCCAAGUAGCGUGAAGGAUGACUGCCCUAUGGGUUGUAAACUUCUUUUAUAUGGGAAUAAAGUUUUCCACGUGUGGAAUUUUGUAUGUACCAUAUGAAUAAGGAUCGGCUAACUCCGUGCCAGCAGCCGCGGUAAUACGGAGGAUCCGAGCGUUAUCCGGAUUUAUUGGGUUUAAAGGGAGCGUAGGUGGACAGUUAAGUCAGUUGUGAAAGUUUGCGGCUCAACCGUAAAAUUGCAGUUGAUACUGGCUGUCUUGAGUACAGUAGAGGUGGGCGGAAUUCGUGGUGUAGCGGUGAAAUGCUUAGAUAUCACGAAGAACUCCGAUUGCGAAGGCAGCUCACUGGACUGCAACUGACACUGAUGCUCGAAAGUGUGGGUAUCAAACAGGAUUAGAUACCCUGGUAGUCCACACAGUAAACGAUGAAUACUCGCUGUUUGCGAUAUACAGUAAGCGGCCAAGCGAAAGCAUUAAGUAUUCCACCUGGGGAGUACGCCGGCAACGGUGAAACUCAAAGGAAUUGGCGGGGGCCCGCACAAGCGGAGGAACAUGUGGUUUAAUUCGAUGAUACGCGAGGAACCUUACCCGGGCUUAAAUUGCAUUUGAAUAAUCUGGAAACAGGUUAGCCGCAAGGCAAAUGUGAAGGUGCUGCAUAGUUGUCGUCAGCUCGUGCCGUGAGGUGUCGGCUUAAGUGCCAUAACGAGCGCAACCCUUAUCUUUAGUUACUAACAGGUCAUGCUGAGGACUCUAGAGAGACUGCCGUCGUAAGAUGUGAGGAAGGUGGGGAUGACGUCAAAUCAGCACGGCCCUUACGUCCGGGGCUACACACGUGUUACAAUGGGGGGUACAGAAGGCAGCUACCUGGUGACAGGAUGCUAAUCCCAAAAGCCUCUCUCAGUUCGGAUCGAAGUCUGCAACCCGACUUCGUGAAGCUGGAUUCGCUAGUAAUCGCGCAUCAGCCAUGGCGCGGUGAAUACGUUCCCGGGCCUUGUACACACCGCCCGUCAAGCCAUGAAAGCCGGGGGUACCUGAAGUACGUAACCGCAAGGAGCGUCCUAGGGUAAAACUGGUAAUUGG